AAAACUACAAAACAUUCUUCUUCAAUUCAACUCCAGUAACAACAUAUUCCUGUCUUUCUUUCCUCAACACCGAAGAUCCAAUUUCAACAAUUCCAUCGGAUUCAGUGUAAAAUUCCACUUUUACUCUUAGAUUCUUUCAGUCAAAUUAUCGUUUCAUCUGGGGAUGAAUUGAAGCCAACUUUAUUUGGAUGGUGACUGUUGUGAACCUGAGAAACAAAAUGGUGCUGCUGCUGCUGCUGCUUAAACAUCAUUCCCCUAAACUCGAUCAGGACAAUUUAGAAAGCAUCAAGGGCUUGUUAACAUCUCUUGACAAAUACUCAAGUGUGGGAUUUCAUCCAACUGCCGAUUUGUGCAUUUAAGACCCUGAGGAAGUUCUUAGUUCUUACUGUUUAUAUAAGCAUAGCUAUGCAUGCAUACAUUAAAGUGAUCACAUUCUUCAUUCUUUCAUGCUUAAACUAAGUAAGAUUGUUUCUGGUUCAUGUAUUGUCUUCUUUUUCCUGUUGUCUGCGUCUUUUUUAAAACUAAAUGAUCAUCAAGGAGCAAAGGAUGUUAAAGAACCAUAGUAAAAAUAUGUUUUAGAACUCGAAAAAAGAUCCUUGUGAAGCAAACAAAUUAACAUAAAGAAGUAUACUAUUAAUAUGAACCAAAUCAACAUUAGGCUUGACAAGCAACUUUUGAGCUGCAAUAACUAAUAGGACACAAAUUAACAUAUAGAUUAAACACUUUCAUUCCCUUGUUAAUUAGUCUUAACAAAUAAGAACAUUCAUAAUACGUACAUACAUGCAUACAUUAGAAAUAUGUUAUAUGAAUUACAUACAUAUCUACUUAGCUAGUUAACAAAGCUUAUAUAGUCCGAUAAGUUUCUUAGAACCGUUCACGACCCACAUUAAAACUAUACUCAACCGGUCAUCAAUAACAAAAAAAAAGUAAUAUAAAAAAAAAAAAACAUAAUAUACUUGCAUUAGUUCAUGCAUUCUAGUCACCAUAAUAUAUUUGCCGAACUUUGAUAUUAAUACAUGCAUUCUAGUCACCAUAAUAUACUUUCUUUUUCUUUCAUUUUCUUGUUGAUGUGAUUAGAAACUCAUUUAUAUAUGUUUCUAAAUUAAUUAUUUCCAGAGAUCAGCCUGGCAAGUGGAGGUGGAUAUGGAAGCACAUUCGGAAGCCAUUUCGUCACUCUUUGAAUCACUUAAAAGCAUGUUCAUAUGUUCAGUCAUUUGAAGAGAUGAUGGAUGAGGAUUUGAAGGAUCUUGUUCAUUACUAAGCUGAGAAGCAACAAACUUAUCAAGUACUCGCCAAUCAGUUAAUUGAAGAUCUUGUUCACCAAUAUUGUUACCAUAAAGCAAGUUGAUGUUUAACUGUUGAGUUGAUGGAUGAAAAGUGGUAGAAACAGGCUGUUGAAUUUUUGGAGAUUCUAAUUGAGGAAGCUGGAGAAAUGAGUGAUCUUGAGGCAAGUUGUAAUGCAAUUGAUCAAGUUCAGAUUUUGCAGGAAACUGGUGAUGAUGGUAUGAUGUAUUUGAAGUGUAAGGAUGAGUACUAAUCCUUUUUGGCGAUUCAAAAUUUGGCAUGAAUGAGACUUGAUCAUCAAACCAGCCUAAUGAAUCAUGUUCAUCCAUCCUACGUACAGUUGUUAUUCGUUUCUUGAAUACCCUACAUACAACCCAUCCUUCUUCCUGUCUUGUUCCAUUUUCAUUUGUUUCAAGUCUAUACUCGUGCAUGAUCCAAUCAGAUUUCUGUCCAUUUGGGGCUCGACCUUUGUAAAACACCAAGGUCUUUCUCAUGCCAACUAGAUUAUUUUUAGAGUAUA